rnacentral:rRNA from 1 species
GAUGAACGCUGGCGGCGUGCCUAAUACAUGCAAGUCGAGCGAACGGACGAGAAGCUUGCUUCUCUGAUGUUAGCGGCGGACGGGUGAGUAACACGUGGAUAACCUACCUAUAAGACUGGGAUAACUUCGGGAAACCGGAGCUAAUACCGGAUAAUAUUUUGAACCGCAUGGUUCAAAAGUGAAAGACGGUCUUGCUGUCACUUAUAGAUGGAUCCGCGCUGCAUUAGCUAGUUGGUAAGGUAACGGCUUACCAAGGCAACGAUGCAUAGCCGACCUGAGAGGGUGAUCGGCCACACUGGAACUGAGACACGGUCCAGACUCCUACGGGAGGCAGCAGUAGGGAAUCUUCCGCAAUGGGCGAAAGCCUGACGGAGCAACGCCGCGUGAGUGAUGAAGGUCUUCGGAUCGUAAAACUCUGUUAUUAGGGAAGAACAUAUGUGUAAGUAACUGUGCACAUCUUGACGGUACCUAAUCAGAAAGCCACGGCUAACUACGUGCCAGCAGCCGCGGUAAUACGUAGGUGGCAAGCGUUAUCCGGAAUUAUUGGGCGUAAAGCGCGCGUAGGCGGUUUUUUAAGUCUGAUGUGAAAGCCCACGGCUCAACCGUGGAGGGUCAUUGGAAACUGGAAAACUUGAGUGCAGAAGAGGAAAGUGGAAUUCCAUGUGUAGCGGUGAAAUGCGCAGAGAUAUGGAGGAACACCAGUGGCGAAGGCGACUUUCUGGUCUGUAACUGACGCUGAUGUGCGAAAGCGUGGGGAUCAAACAGGAUUAGAUACCCUGGUAGUCCACGCCGUAAACGAUGAGUGCUAAGUGUUAGGGGGUUUCCGCCCCUUAGUGCUGCAGCUAACGCAUUAAGCACUCCGCCUGGGGAGUACGACCGCAAGGUUGAAACUCAAAGGAAUUGACGGGGACCCGCACAAGCGGUGGAGCAUGUGGUUUAAUUCGAAGCAACGCGAAGAACCUUACCAAAUCUUGACAUCCUUUGACAACUCUAGAGAUAGAGCCUUCCCCUUCGGGGGACAAAGUGACAGGUGGUGCAUGGUUGUCGUCAGCUCGUGUCGUGAGAUGUUGGGUUAAGUCCCGCAACGAGCGCAACCCUUAAGCUUAGUUGCCAUCAUUAAGUUGGGCACUCUAAGUUGACUGCCGGUGACAAACCGGAGGAAGAUGGGGAUGACGUCAAAUCAUCAUGCCCCUUAUGAUUUGGGCUACACACGUGCUACAAUGGACAAUACAAAGGGCAGCGAAACCGCGAGGUCAAGCAAAUCCCAUAAAGUUGUUCUCAGUUCGGAUUGUAGUCUGCAACUCGACUACAUGAAGCUGGAAUCGCUAGUAAUCGUAGAUCAGCAUGCUACGGUGAAUACGUUCCCGGGUCU